GCACGCCCCGCGGUCUGUCCCGGCCGGCGUUUCCUCAGGUGGGCCCUAGGGGAGCUCGCUCCUCGGCGGAGGCCACGUGGCGGAGCAGCCCCGGCCGUUACGAAGAACUUCCUUUUCCUACUUCCUUAGCUGUCAGGAUGAGGGCGCCGAGAGAAGGGAGGCUAGCGUGGGCUCUGGAUGCGACCUGGGGAGCGAGGCCCCGUGUGUGGCUGCAGGAAAGGCUUCUGUACUAGCUAACCGCGGCCAGGUUAGAGCUCCCUGUCCUCGUUUAUGGGAAAAAUGAAACCUUCAAACAAGUGGCUCUGCCUAGUCUAGAAACCGAUAGUCAGACCCAAUGUGCUGAAAAAUGUUUGGCCGACUUUUGGAAGGAAGAGAAAAACAAAAUUGGAUUAUCUCAAGCAACUCCGAUAUUUGUUUCCUUCCAGGGUGGUUAUUAAUAACUAGUGCCAGAUUCAUCACAGAAAUUACAUUACUUAAAAAAAGAUUGUGUUACUAAAUAUAUAGAUAUAGAUAUUAUAAUAAAUAUAAUAAAACUCCAGCCGGGCAUAGUGACACACGCCUUUAAACCCAGCACUUGGGAGGCAGCAGCAGGCGGAUCUCUGUGAGUUCAAGGCCAGCCUGGUCUACAAAAUUCCAGGAGAGCCAGGGCUGUCACACAGAGAAACAUUGUCUCGAAAAACCAUAAAAUGAAAAACUGUCAUAUUAAUGAAAAGUGGAACGUUGUAAUUUUUAAAAGGGCUAAGCCCCUUAAAAUCCAUGGGUGCAAUUUAGGUCAUCUUAUUCUUUGUUGAUAGAUUGGCAAGUGGGAUGUUUACAGUAUUUUCUUAAGGUAUUUGGUUUCCAGGAGACUUAUCACUGUCAACCACCUUCUUCUACCCACACUAUUAGAUAUAGCUUGAACACCAACCAGCCAGGAUGGAAACCUGUGGAUUCCUUCCAGGCUAAGAAAGAAAAUCUGCAUUUUGGCCUAAAAGAUAAAACUGUCUUAUACACCAAAACUAGAGCCUGCAGAGGCAGAAGGCCAUCAGAUUCCCUGAAGUUGUGAGCUACCUGACAUAGAUGCUGUGAAAUAAACUUCCAAUCCCAGAACAGGAGUUCUCAUGAA